CCAAAUCAGUGGUCAGUGGCCCCUAAGGCGACCGUUCUUGGGCGCGGCUCGGAGAAGCAGCUUUGCAGGCAGAAGGCGCGCUCCUGGCUGCAAGGAGCCGCGUACACCGCGCGGCGAGGACGCUGGGAGCUACUACGGUCCGCUGACCGCCCCGGGACUUUGGGGCUGCGUAAGGAACUCAUCAGUGUCAACCGAUUAGAAAUCAGGGGUUAAGAAGAAAGCCACGGUUACUCCAGCCUCUGGCGGGCAAAGUUGUCCAGGUCCUGCCUGCCUGCCGGCUUUCUCUUCCUCUUUCCUUGCAUCCGUUUCAUCCGUUUCUCCCCCCUUCCUUUCAGACUCAUUCUUGUUCUUUCUUCUCUCAAAUCGCUUUUCCUCAACCAUACCCGGCCAACACUCUCCCUCCCCAAGACAGUCUGAGACUCACAUUGCAGCUGGAAAACGUAUCACUUAAGAGAAAGCUGUUCCAGGGGAAAGAAUUCGAAUUGAAGUGAAAGGGAUAUCAGAGGAGAGAGAGGGAGACCCCGCCCCGAUAGUCCAGAACACGCUGUAACAAAGCAAAGUCCACGGGAGCUUCACGCUCUACCCUCCAACCUGGCUGCAGGCACCAAAGCAGAACUUCUCCUAACUCAAGCUAAGAAUAGGGAAUAGAAGUCAAGCUCGGGGCCCGGCCCUGCCCCCUCCCGCAGGCGGGGCUGGGGGAGGGGAGAUUUCUCCAGCCUGCUGAUGCUCCCUUGCUCAACCCGGGCCCCUUGGCUGCGGCGGUCUGGGGGAGGGGCACGGAGCGGCACUGGAGCCUGCCCGGCCCUCGCGCCGAGCCAGGGCCACGGCCAGGGACCUGCGGUCCGACCCGGGCUGACAGCGGCGGCGCACUGGGAGCCGGUGGGAAGAUGAUUGUAGCUGGGACCGCGGAACUGCAGGAGGGAGACCACGAGGAAGUGUUGGGGGAAGCCAAGCCUCAGCUCAGCCCGGGCAGCAAGCACCUACCUGAUUCCAGGGAACCGGAGUCCUGCGGUGGCAGUCACGUAAUGAUCGGGUAUCAGAAAAAGACGUCAGCAUCCUAGUCCCUCAAGGAACAUAUUAACUAUUUUGUGCUGUCCUCUUGGAUGAUAAGAUCCGGAGUCAUCGACUUCUCAUAAACACCUUUCACUGAUACAAUCCAAUUUUUAAGAAGUGCAAUUAUUUUGAUGGUGUUCAAUUUUGCCCAUUUCUCAAGGAUGGGUAAAGAAUUCAUACAAUUUCGAGGAUGCUCUGCCUCUGGAGUAAAUUCGCACACAAAGAGUCCGCGGGGAACACAACCAGAUAAUGAAGCAGAGACGUCUUUUUUACCAAAGCGCCCAAAGCUAUUACCGACUGUGACUUCCCUGUCUUCCGUCUUGCUUCGCGUCAAAGGUGAAUCUGAUUAAAAUCCUUACUCUUCCCUCCCACACGAAUUCUGAAAUGAGUUCAAUCUGUAGAAAUAUUUGAAAAUUUCCAAGACUCCUUGUACAAAUCCACUACUCAACUUUAGUAAAGGGAGCCACCAUGUGGGGAGAUUGUUGACUUCAUGGCCUAUCAAAGGGAAAACCACAAACACCAUUAACUUUGUGGGGAGGGUGAUGGAAGUACUGGCUCUGUGGUCCGCAAGAAUCUGAACUGUGCCCUGGCUUACAAGGGCUUGGCCGCUUUCACUCUGCUCAGCUUAGGCACUCAGGACCUAACUCAGCACGGAACUCAGGCUCAGCACUCCAAAAUUAACGGCCUUGAGACCUGAACCCAUUCAAGAAAGUGAAAAAUUAAGCAGAGAAUUCAUUUUAAGAUUCUUGGUCACUGACCUCAGGAAAAUCAAGCUUCCAAAAUCCAACUGUUGCUCAUCAAAAUCUAAAGAACUGCCCAGCCCAACCCACAGAUGCCUGGGGGAAAUCAAGCCCGGGACAGGAUGGUUCCACGGAUCUUUCUGCUGCCACUGUCCAUCUCUGAUUAAGCCAGUUUGGCGUCCUUUGAGCAAAGAAGCUUUCCUAUUCUCGAAAGUUUUGGCCCUAGGCCCUUGAACCAAGGGAUUCCAGGAACACUGAGGAAGGAGAGUAACUAGAAGCUGAGGAUUGGGCUCUCAAACUGCUCAGCCCUGCAGUUGCACCCCAACCUUGCCAAAUCCUCCUGCGCACAGGCUCUUUCUGCUUUCUAUUGGGUGGAGACAAAUACAGAGCAACUGAUGUCUCAAAGACCAAAACUGCCCCCAAGUGCCCCCUGAGAGUAGUAAUUUGCUGUUACCAUCGAGGAGCAUCCUAACUCAGAGUGUUAACGCUGCUUCCACGGAGCCUUUGUAUCUGGGGAGCGGCAAGGAGGAGGAGUGCAUCAGGUAGCACUGCUGGGCUAGACAGGCCCAUAGCCACCGGACAAGUACUGAGGUGCCCUGGCUGAGGAGGCCGUAUUAAACUGCAGCUAGUACAUACUAGUUCUUAGCAAAUGCAGGCGUCAGUCUGGCUUAAAAGGAGGCGUGGGGCCUGCACCGCAGAUCGGAUGGACUCACAACUAACCCAGCAUUGCUGGGAGGAGAAGGGGAAGAGCAGGGAGAGUGAGGGAACUGGGGCAAGGCAGGUCAAGGGAGGGGAGCCUUCCAAUUUUAUCCUGCUCUCACCGUUUCUCUCCCAAAGAGAUUUUUACAUUCUCCUAAGGCAACUGAGGUUAAGAACGAGAGAGAACCCUUCAGAUCUCCUAUAUAUAAUUGCAAAUGACAGGGGAGAAGAGGGAGGGGAUGAAGAAGGGACCCAAAAGUUAGAACUUCCAAUUAACCAGUAACACAAAGGAAUUUUACUCUUUCGGACAGCUCCACCCUGUCCACACAACCUUCGUCCGUCCGGACAAAGUAGAAGGAUUCCCAGGCAACAACGUUUCUUCCCAGGUUAUGGAAGCUUAGACUGGCAUAGACUGGACUAGACUGGAAUCAUGUCUAGUUCAAAAAGCUAGUGGAACCACGGAAAUCUUUCCAGUGGUAGGUUUCACCUAUGUCCUCUGAGAGCCGGAGGGACAGAAGGCAUCACUCUGGGGCUAUGCCUCAACCUACCCAGCAGAGGCUGUUUGGAAAUAUUUGUUGAAAAUGAUCAAAGACCUUGAAUGUCAACCCCUGAUGUAUUAACUGAUUUUCAUCCUAUUUGUCCUUAAGACAUGAAAACAUAACUUUUGGUCUGAAAUGGUGAAUGCUAGCUACAAGUCAAACUAAUACUUGCCUGAAUUGUUUUUCCUGUUCACUGGACACAUCAGUCUUUGUUGAAGCUUCCAGCCUCGAAACCUCAGUCAACAGUCGAUUUAAAGAUUGUUUUACAAACUGAGGGUUGAUGGGGG